GUUCGUCUUGAGGUACAAAGGAGGAGGGAGGGGAGUGCGCUCGUUUUGAGUUCCCCUCCUCCCUCUUCGCCGCCGACUUCUAGCACCCGGUCUUGUCGAAUAUGUCGUCGGAGAGGGGUCAACCACUGCCCAAGUUGGGGAGUGGGAUGUCAAUAAUCCUGCCUCAGCUGAUGGGUUCACUAUUAUUUUUAACAAAGCUCGAGAUGAGAAGAAAACAAUGUGGGUGGUUUACAACCAGAUGAAACCUAUCAAUAUCCAACAAAAAGUAGAAAGUGGUUUUGCUGCGGUUGAAUGCCGGUGCUAGAGCCAUUGGUUGGUAUAGCAGGGAUAAAGAAAUUUUAUAGUGAGGUACAGAUGCUAUCUACAAAUUAUUAUGUUCGAUCGUCCAUUUGUAUAAACGUAGUACUAUCUUUAUUUUAGUUCUGUCAUAUUAUGUUUUGUCAUUUGGAUCCGAGGGCAAAUUAACAAGAGCAGUCCUCUUGUUUGCAA